AUUCCAGCUCCAAUAGCGUAUAUUUAAGUUGUUGCAGUUAAAAAGCUCGUAGUUGGAUUUCGGUUGAGAGCGGCCGGUCCGCCGUUUGGUGUGCACUGGCUGGUUUCAGCUUCCUGCAGAGGACGCGCUCUGGGCUUAAUCGUCUGGACGUGGAGUCUGCGUGGUUACUUUGAAAAAAUUAGAGUGUUCAAAGCGGGCUUACGCUUGAAUAUUUCAGCAUGGAAUAACACUAUAGGGCUCCUGUCCUAUUUCGUUGGUCUCGGGACGGGAGUAAUGAUUAAUAGGGAUAGUUGGGGGUAUUCAUAUUUAAUUGUCUGAGGUGAAAUUCUUGGAUUUAUGAAAGAUGAACUUAUGCGAAAGCAUUUACCAAGGAUGUUUUCAUUG
rnacentral:rRNA from 1 species